rnacentral:rRNA from 1 species
CGGCGGACGGGUGAGUAACGCGUGGGUAACCUGCCUCAUACAGGGGGAUAACAGUUAGAAAUGACUGCUAAUACCGCAUAAGCGCACAGGACCGCAUGGUCCGGUGUGAAAAACUCCGGUGGUAUGAGAUGGACCCGCGUCUGAUUAGCUGGUUGGCGGGGUAACGGCCCACCAAGGCGACGAUCAGUAGCCGACCUGAGAGGGUGGCCGGCCACAUUGGGACUGAGACACGGCCCAAACUCCUACGGGAGGCAGCAG